rnacentral:tRNA from 2 species
GGCGGCAUAGCCAAGUGGUAAGGCAUAGGUCUGCAAAACCUCUAUUCACCGGUUCAAAUCCGGUUGCCGCCUCCA